rnacentral:rRNA from 1 species
AAAAUGGAGAGUUUGAUCCUGGCUCAGGAUGAACGCUGGCGGUAUGCUUAACACAUGCAAGUCGAACGGAAUGCUUAGGCAUUUAGUGGCGGACGGGUGAGUAACGCGU